rnacentral:rRNA from 1 species
CCCGCUGAACUUAAGCAUAUCAAUAAGCGGAGGAAAAGAAACUAACAAGGAUUCCCCUAGUAACUGCGAGUGAAGCGGGAAAAGCUCAAAUUUAAAAUCUGGCGGUCCUUGUGGCUGUCCGAGUUGUAAUCUAGAGAAGUGCUAUCCGUGCUGGACCGUGUACAAGUCUCCUGGAAUGGAGCGUCAUAGAGGGUGAGAAUCCCGUCUUUGACACGGACUACCAGGGCUUACGUGAUGUGCUCUCGAAGAGUCGAGUUGUUUGGGAAUGCAGCUCACAAUGGGUGGUAAAUUCCAUCUAAAGCUAAAUAUUGGCGAGAGACCGAUAGCGAACAAGUACCGUGAGGGAAAGAUGAAAAGAACUUUGGAAAGAGAGUUAAACAGUACGUGAAAUUGUUGAAAGGGAAACGCUUGAAGUCAGUCGCGUCGUCCGGGGAUCAACCUUGCAAAUUUUGCUAGGGUGCAUUUUCCGGUUGAUGGGUCAACAUCAAUUUCGACCGUUGGAUAAAGGCUUAGGGAAUGUGGCAUCUUCGGAUGUGUUAUAGCCCUUGGUCGCAUACAACGGUUGGGAUUGAGGAACUCAGCACGCCGAAAGGCCGGGUUUUAUUACCACGUUUGUGCUUAGGAUGUUGGCAUAAUGGCUUUAAUCGACCCGUCUUGAAACACGG